UACGGAGGGUGCAAGCGUUGUCCGGAUUUAUUGGGUUUAAAGGGUGCGUAGGCGGCCGUUUAAGUCCGGGGUGAAAGCCCACUGCUCAACAGUGGAACUGCCCUGGAAACUGGACGGCUUGAGUACAGACGAGGGCGGCGGAAUGGAGGGUGUAGCGGUGAAAUGCAUAGAUACCCUCCAGAACCCCGAUUGCGAAGGCAGCUGCCUAGACUGUAACUGACGCUGAGGCACGAAAGCGUGGGGAGCGAACAGG
rnacentral:rRNA from 1 species